GGGGAUGUAGCAUAACCAGGUUUAGUGUCUUCGGCUCCAGACCGAAGGAUCCAGGUUCAAAUCCUGGCUUCCCCA
rnacentral:tRNA from 1 species